GCCCCCCCCCCCCCUCUCCUCCCCUUCUCCCCUCCUUGUCAUGCGGCCAUGCCGUCCGUCUCGACAACUCCGUCCGCGAAGGAAUCCCCACCCACGCGGCCACGCCCACGCCCACGCCUCGAUCGCCUCUCCCGCACAUGCGACUUCAGCGCAACUCCGCCACCGCCACGACGCAGCAGCGCGGGUAGACGAUGAAGGCCGACGCCAAGUGGCCCGCGAUGGUGCUCGGCGGCGGCGGCGGCGGCGGGAGGCGUGCCUCGCCAGGGUCUGCGCCUCCGCCCGCCGCGCCCGCUGCCGUGGCGUACAGCCUCCUCGCCACCUCCCCGCCCGCCAGCAUCGGCAACGGUGGCGGCUCGCCGCACUGCGACGACGGCGACGCGUCCCGCGGGCUCGGCGUGGCGGACUGGCUGCGGCUGCAGCGGCACUCGAGCGGGAGCAGCGCCGGCGACGACGGGGAUGGCUUCUCCUCCGUCUCCACCCUCGCCACUGCCGACAAGGGCGGCGACCCCGCCGAUCGCCCGGCCGGCAGCAGCGGCGGCGGCGGCAGCAAGAGCUGGGCGCAGCAGGCGGAGGAGGCGUACCAGCUCCAGCUCGCCCUCGCGCUCCGUCUCUGCUCCGAGGCCUCCACCGCCCCCGACCCCAACUUCCUCGACUCCGCCGUGGCGGCGGCCGACGACCACCACCGCGACGCGCCCUCGCCCCAAUCCCUCUCGCAUCGCUUCUGGGUGAAUGGCAGCUUGUCCUACUCCGACAAGGUCCUGGAUGGCUUCUACCUCAUUCAUGGGAUGGAUCCCUUCGUAUGGACGCUCUGCAAUGACUUGCGCGAUGGCGCCCGAGUGCCCUCGAUCGAGUCGCUCAAGGCUAUGAAUCCCACCGAGUCAUCCGUGGAGGUGGUCCUCAUAGAUAGGGUGGUCGACUAUGAUCUGAGGCAACUGAUAAGCACGGCGAUUGACGUUUCUCGGAGCCGCGCUGACUCAAGGGAAAUCACCACUCGCCUUGCUGGCAUUGUGUCCUCAAAGAUGGGGGGUUCCGUAGCAUCUACCGAAGAACAUGAACUGUGUCCCCGGUGGAGAGACUCUGCCGGGUUCCUGAAGAUUAGUUCAGGUUCUGUUGUGCUUCCAAUUGGGAAGUUAUCAAUCGGUCUUUGCCGGCACCGAUCGUUGCUGUUUAAGACCUUAGCAGACACUAUCAGUCUCCCAUGUCGAGUUGUGAGGGGAUGCAGGUACUGCAAAUCUGCUGGUGCUGCUUCAUGCCUGGUGCACUUUGGUAAUGACAGGGAAUAUCUGAUUGAUUUGAUAGGGAACCCAGGCUUCUUAUCUGAACCUGACUCCCUCUUAAAUGGGCUCUCAUCCAUUUCAGUUUCUUCACCAUUGCGCCCACCAAAAUACAAUUCAGCUGAUAUUGUUAAUAACUUCAAGUCAUUGGCGAAGCAAUAUUUCCUUGAUUGCCAAUCGCUAAAUAUGAUGUUCAAUGAUCCAGCAGCAGUUUCAGGGACGGUUGUUGACUUAGAUGAGGCCAUGGGAUCAAAUAUUGGUCCAAACUUAUCGCCUGCAACAAACAGUGAUUUUCAAGCUAACUUUUCACAUCGUAGUCGUGGUGCCCAGUCCAGUGGUCAAGAUGGCAAUUUUCUUAUUCAGAAGAGUUCUCCUGAGGAUACACAAUCUGCACAAAGUGACCCCUUCAGUGAUAUAUCUCUCGACAUUGAAGACUUGAUUAUUCCUUGGAGUGAACUUGUUUUGAAAGAGAAAAUUGGAGCUGGCUCAUUUGGAACCGUGCACCGUGCGGAUUGGAAUGGCUCGGAUGUUGCUGUAAAGAUUUUGAUGGAGCAAGACUUCCACCCAGAGCGUCUCAAAGAAUUUCUUAGGGAGGUUGCAAUUAUGAAAAGUCUGCGCCAUCCAAACAUUGUCCUUUUUAUGGGUGCUGUUACUCAGCCACCAAAACUUUCGAUUGUGACAGAAUAUCUAUCAAGAGGUAGCCUAUACAGGAUUUUGCACAAGCAUGGUGCAAGGGAAAAUCUAGAUGAGAAGCGGCGAUUGAGUAUGGCUUUUGACGUGGCUAAGGGGAUGAAUUACCUUCACAAGCGCAAUCCUCCUAUAGUCCACCGGGAUCUAAAGUCACCAAAUCUGUUGGUUGAUAAAAAGUACACUGUGAAGGUCUGUGACUUUGGUCUCUCCAGAUUGAAGGCAAACACAUUUUUGUCUUCCAAGACUGCAGCAGGGACUCCUGAGUGGAUGGCACCAGAAGUUAUACGAGAUGAGCCAUCAAAUGAGAAGUCUGAUGUCUACAGCUUUGGUGUUAUCCUAUGGGAGCUCAUGACAUUGCAACAACCAUGGAGUACUUUGAAUCCAGCUCAGGUUGUAGCAGCUGUUGGUUUUAAUGGGCGAAGGCUUGAAAUUCCAAGUAGCGUUGAUCCAAAAGUGGCGGCAAUAAUGGAAUCCUGCUGGACAAAAGAACCCUGGCGACGACCGUCUUUUGCCAGUAUCAUGGAAUCCCUGAAACCUCUAAUCAGAACUCCCCAUCAACUUCAAGAGGAUAUCAGUUAACGGUUCAUGGGUACCUUCAAAACCCUGAAGAUACGAGCCCUUGACAACUUACAAAGGGCUGCAGAUCCUCGUGGCUGUGGCGUUGGUCGUCGUGGAUGGUUGCAGAUCGUGCUGGAUGUGGUGCAUGCAGUGGAGGUCUCGACUGGCGGCGGCGACCAGAUCGGCGUUCGCCUGUGGUUGACGGCGGAGGUGGAGAUUAAUCAUCACCUGGGCUGUCAAUAAGAUGGGCCUCCCAAAGCACUGGGCCAGAUGUACGUACUUGGACUCAAACUCCUAAAUGGGCUCCACUGAUCCAGCCGAUAAUACAUGGACUCAAAAUAAAAUUGGACAAGCAUCUUAUCCUCGCAUGUUCGGACCGGCUGGUUCCUCGCAUGUUUGUAAUCCAGACAUAACAUAAUUUGUUCUAAAAUGGUAGUUCUAGUUUAAUUUA